AGAGUUUGAUCAUGGCUCAGAUUGAACGCUGGCGGCAGGCCUAACACAUGCAAGUCGAACGGUAACAGGAAGCAGCUUGCUGCUUCGCUGACGAGUGGCGGACGGGUGAGUAAUGUCUGGGAAGCUGCCUGAUGGAGGGGGAUAACUACUGGAAACGGUAGCUAAUACCGCAUAAUGUCGCAAGACCAAAGAGGGGGACCUUCGGGCCUCUUGCCAUCGGAUGUGCCCAGAUGGGAUUAGCUUGUUGGUGGGGUAACGGCUCACCAAGGCGACGAUCCCUAGCUGGUCUGAGAGGAUGACCAGCCACACUGGAACUGAGACACGGUCCAGACUCCUACGGGAGGCAGCAGUGGGGAAUAUUGCACAAUGGGCGCAAGCCUGAUGCAGCCAUGCCGCGUGUAUGAAGAAGGCCUUCGGGUUGUAAAGUACUUUCAGCGGGGAGGAAGGGAGUAAAGUUAAUACCUUUGCUCAUUGACGUUACCCGCAGAAGAAGCACCGGCUAACUCCGUGCCAGCAGCCGCGGUAAUACGGAGGGUGCAAGCGUUAAUCGGAAUUACUGGGCGUAAAGCGCACGCAGGCGGUUUGUUAAGUCAGAUGUGAAAUCCCCGGGCUCAACCUGGGAACUGCAUCUGAUACUGGCAAGCUUGAGUCUCGUAGAGGGGGGUAGAAUUCCAGGUGUAGCGGUGAAAUGCGUAGAGAUCUGGAGGAAUACCGGUGGCGAAGGCGGCCCCCUGGACGAAGACUGACGCUCAGGUGCGAAAGCGUGGGGAGCAAACAGGAUUAGAUACCCUGGUAGUCCACGCCGUAAACGAUGUCGACUUGGAGGUUGUGCCCUUGAGGCGUGGCUUCCGGAGCUAACGCGUUAAGUCGACCGCCUGGGGAGUACGGCCGCAAGGUUAAAACUCAAAUGAAUUGACGGGGGCCCGCACAAGCGGUGGAGCAUGUGGUUUAAUUCGAUGCAACGCGAAGAACCUUACCUGGUCUUGACAUCCACGGAAGUUUUCAGAGAUGAGAAUGUGCCUUCGGGAACCGUGAGACAGGUGCUGCAUGGCUGUCGUCAGCUCGUGUUGUGAAAUGUUGGGUUAAGUCCCGCAACGAGCGCAACCCUUAUCCUUUGUUGCCAGCGGUCCGGCCGGGAACUCAAAGGAGACUGCCAGUGAUAAACUGGAGGAAGGUGGGGAUGACGUCAAGUCAUCAUGGCCCUUACGACCAGGGCUACACACGUGCUACAGUGGCGCAUACAAAGAGAAGCGACCUCGCGAGAGCAAGCGGACCUCAUAAAGUGCGUCGUAGUCCGGAUUGGAGUCUGCAACUCGACUCCAUGAAGUCGGAAUCGCUAGUAAUCGUGGAUCAGAAUGCCACGGUGAAUACGUUCCCGGGCCUUGUACACACCGCCCGUCACACCAUGGGAGUGGGUUGCAAAAGAAGUAGGUAGCUUAACCUUCGGGAGGGCGCUUACCACUUUGUGAUUCAUGACUGGGGUGAAGUCGUAACAAGGUAACCGUAGGGGAACCUGCGGUUG
rnacentral:rRNA from 1 species